GAUGAAGAACGCAGCGAAAUGCGAUAAGUAAUGUGAAUUGCAGAAUUCAGUGAAUCAUCGAAUCUUUGAACGCACAUUGCGCCCUCUGGUAUUCCGGGGGGCAUGCCUGUUCGAGCGUCAUUAUAACCACUCAAGCUCUCGCUUGGUAUUGGGGUUCGCGGUUCCGCGGCCCCUAAAAUCAGUGGCGGUGCCUGUCGGCUCUACGCGUAGUAAUACUCCUCGCGAUUGAGUCCGGUAGGUCUACUUGCCAGCAACCCCCAAUUUUUACAGGUUGAACUCGGAUCAGGUAGGGAUACCCGCUGAACUUAAGCAUAUCAAUAAGCGGAGGA
rnacentral:misc_RNA from 1 species